UAAAAGGGCCUUUGUCGUUCAUGACACAUGGGAUGGUCAAACUGACUAUAAGUCCCGUGCGGAAUCGCAAUCAAGAGAUUUCGGAGGCAUAAUUUUUAUAACCUGUGGCAGCUGGUGCUCAUUUGGCCUGGCGCCCUU